rnacentral:rRNA from 1 species
UACGUAGGGGUGCAAGCGUUGUCCGGAAUUAUUGGGCGUAAAGGGCUCGUAGGCGGUCCGUCACGUCGGGAGUGAAAUCCUGGGGCUUAACCCCAGAACUGCUUCCGAUACGGGCAGACUAGAGGUAGGUAGGGGAGAAUGGAAUUCCUGGUGUAGCGGUGGAAUGCGUAGAUAUCAGGAGGAACACCGGCGGUGUAGACGGCUUUCUGGACCGUAGCUGACGCUGAGACACGAAAGCGUGGGUAGCAAACAGG